GGAUGUGCAAAAAUCAGAUUCUGAAUGUGGUCUAAGGGCUAACAGUUUUAGAAGCUGAAUUGCGCAUGAGGAUUUAUUCAUGUUGCGGAAAGCUGCGUGUCCAGGAGUUUUGAUGAUGGAAAUUAACUAACAGAUUGGAGAAUGACCUGUUUGUGGACCUCGGCUGCAAAUGCUAUAAAGGAAGUUGAGGUAUCCUCGCUUGGGUACAGAUGGUCCUGCCUAUAUAUUUGAUUGACGUUGGGAUGUUUUUAAAGCAGGCCAGAACAGUGAUGCAGUGGUUUUGUCAAGGGUCACCCUGAAGAGAUCCAUGCAAUGAAGGACUUUGUCUCAGGGACACUCACCAUGAUUAAUGUUAGUCAUGGCUGGAGGGCAAACAACUCUGUGAAAAAAUGCUCUUGAUCAACUUAGAACUUGCUGGUCUUCUCUGAUGAGUUGAGCAUGACUGAGCAUUGCAAACUGGGAUAUUCCAAAGUCCAUGACUAAAUGCUGAAGGAUGCACUAAAGCUCAGAGCAGUUAUCAUGAAGGCAUGCUAAAAGGUUAGAAACUGGGUAAAGCCCCUUGGUCUAUACAUUUGACAGGCAAUUAAUCUUGUGAACAUUAACUGUAUUUGUAAAUACGGUAAGUAAUAUACCAAUUUGGUUUGUGCCUCAAGUAAUUUCAAUUGUGAAAGAUCAUGCAUUGUAUAUUUAUAAAUUUUUAUGAAUAAAGGAUACCUUUGAGACAAAUGUAGAGGGCAAAUGAAGAUUGUAACUUCAUGGAGACUGACAGCUGAACUAAAUCA